rnacentral:tRNA from 1 species
UCCCUGGUAGCUCAGAUGGUAAAGCAUCUGCCUACAAUUCAGGAGACCCAGGUUCAAACCCUGGGUGGGGGU